rnacentral:lncRNA from 1 species
UUUUAUAUCUCACACUAGUUUCGCACAAUGCACCGUAAGCCCUCUGACCUUCAGCCAACAAGAAAUCUCCCCAUUAUCAGCUCACCUUUUCUUUUAAACAAAAAAUAUCCAUAAAUCAGCUAAUCAGUCAAAAUGGAAACAACCAUAUAUAUAUACGUCAUCCUUAACGUGCUGAAUUACUUUCUCAACAAUCUACAAUUAUUAAUUGACUCUCUCACAAAAUCUAAAGAUUGACGAAACAAAACAAACCAAGAAGAUAACUUUUUUGUGGUUUGACACUUUAUUCCAGAGAAACCUCAAGAAACCGACGUCAAGCUCGUAACUUUGAAGCAAGAAACCCAAGAAAUCACGAAAAGGGAUCUGACCUGCAGUAGGAGGAGAGCGGACGUCAGGUGAAGGGGGAGAAUCCAGCGGCGGCGAAUCGAUCAGAGGGGCGUACAUGUAGGAAUCGGAGACUAGGUAAUCCUUCACCGCCUUCGCAAAUCCUCUGCUUCUCCUUUUCGUCGGCUUCCUUCGAACUCCCAGCCCUCCCUCCUUCUCCAUUGCUCUCUCUCGAUCUCGACUUGAUCUCGAUCUCUACCUCCGAAACCCCAGACGGUCCUUCUUGGAGUUCUUGGAAGAGGGAGCGAGCUUUACGGGGGAGCAGACGAGGUGGCCAUUACGGCAAUUGGGAUAUAUAUUAGAGAGAGAGAGAGAGAGAGGCGGUUUAGGCGGUGAAGGUCUAGUCCACGUGUUGUCUAACGGUCGAAUCGCAAACUGGGCUCUUAACGGGCUCUUAGUGGAGCCCAAAUCUUUCAUCUAAUGGACUAUACUUGUAAUGGGUACCAGUGGAUUUUAUACAACAAUUUCACAUAAUUACUAUUUUUGUAAGAAAAAUACAUUUUUUUUUAAAUAAGACAUAUUUAAGGCUUUGUUAAUGACUUUGUUAAUGAUUUUGUCAUUGGAUCUAAGUAUAAUGAAAACGGCAGUCUAAACAAGCAUUCAA